UCAAGGGUUCUCUAGAGCCAUCCAAACACUUCAUAUGCAAGAAUCCAAGUGAAACUAAAGAUCCACUUCAUCAAUCCACAAAACUAAGUGUGAGAAACACAUCAAAUCCAUUCAAGUUAAGAAAUUCCAUGGAAGGUGGAACUAGGGUUUUGUUCAAGUGAAGCAUUUCAACUCAAGGCUUAUUCCUACAAUAACCAAGAUUAAAGUUGAAGGGAUUGAAGGACAUUGUGAUACGCUCAAAAGCAGGAAGUUAAGGUACUGAUAUACAGGACGACACAUCUGCUCAGUAGGACAACAUUCGUAUCAGCUUAUUGGUGAGCCCCAUCUCACUCGGGGUUUAGUCAACUUUUGUUUUAUGAUUAAUUAUGCAUCUAAAGGUAUGCUGGGGGCCUUGUCCCAGUAAGUAUGUUUUUCAGUCAGACUCAUGAUAGAGGUUUCAUAGACUAGACAAGUCGGUUAUGUCAUGUCAGACAU